GGUAAAAUGGCUGAGUAAGCAUUAGACUGUAAAUCUAAACACAGAGGGNNNUCCUCUUUUUACCA
rnacentral:tRNA from 1 species